AACGAACGCUGGCGGCAGGCCUAACACAUGCAAGUCGAGCGCCCCGCAAGGGGAGCGGCGGACGGGUGAGUAACGCGUGGGAAUUUUCCUCAAGGUACGGAACAACUCAGGGAAACUUGGGCUAAUACCGUAUGAUGUCUAGCGACCAAAGAUUUAUCGCCUUGGGAUAAGCCCGCGUCAGAUUAGGUAGUUGGUGGGGUAACGGCCUACCAAGCCUGCGAUCUGUAGCUGGUCUGAGAGGACGAUCAGCCACACUGGGACUGAGACACGGCCCAGACUCCUACGGGAGGCAGCAGUGGGGAAUCUUGCGCAAUGGGCGAAAGCCUGACGCAGCCAUGCCGCGUGAAUGAUGAAGGUCUUAGGAUUGUAAAGUUCUUUCGCCCGUGACGAUGAUGACGGUAACGGGAGAAGAA
rnacentral:rRNA from 1 species